rnacentral:tRNA from 1 species
CCUGGUGGCUCAGAUGGUAAAGAAUCUGCCUGAAAUGCAGGAGACCUGGGUUCAAUCCCUGAGUCAGGA